CAAAAUGGGCCAAAAAACUGACUUAUAAAAGUUGAAACUUACCAAAAGUCUCUGAGAGGGAUGCAGCACUAUUAAAAUUACUAAGAUAUUGGGACGUGAUCACAGAACCAUUAAGCGUUUUGUUGCAAAUAGUCAACAGUGUCGCAAGACGCAAAUUACCUGCCAGGGAUUUGAGAAGAAUCAGGCGUGAAGCUACCAGGAACCCAUUAUCGUUCAGUGCUGUCUUGUUCCAUAUCUGCAACCUACUUGGAGGACCUAGAAGUACGAGAUGUUCAGCUCAGAGACAUGGCCAAGGCUGUUUGCUCUGCAGAAGCGUCCUUCUGCCAGCUGUAAAUUAUUCCUUUCUUCCGUGGCACGGGGCUCUGUCCACGUCAUCUGAUCGCCGGUGCGGGCCCUCGCUGCAGAGAUCCACCCGCCGUCCCCCUCCCUAAUUGCCGUCGUAAUUGUUCAGGCAUCUCCUCCGCCGCUGGAGGAGGCAGGCAGACUCUCACGCUGGAGCUCAGGCAGUCAGAAAUGAGUGCCAUGUGGAGAGAGACCGUACCCGACCACAGCAGAGAAUUUGAGGUGGCGCCUUGACGCCUGGAGCCCGCCGCUGUGCCCCCAGGCUGCCAGAACAACCACGAUUCAAGUGUUAGAUUUUGUUAGAUUUAGGAACCCUCCUCCUCCUCUCUGCUGUGAUCCUGGCACUGAUUUAUAUCAGGGAAAGGCUGAUGACAACUUUCUGAUGUAUAACAGGAUGAAUAAAUGCUGUGGGAACCAAA